rnacentral:rRNA from 1 species
GACGAACGCUGGCGGCGUGCUUAACACAUGCAAGUCGAACGGAAAGGCCUGCUUUCCCUUGUGGAUUGCGGGUGCUCGAGUGGCGAACGGGUGAGUAACACGUGAGUGAUCUGCCCCCAACUUGGGUAUAAGCCUGGGAAACUGGGUCUAAUUCCCGAUAGGACUGCAGGGUGGUGCCUGUGGUGGAAAACGAUUUUCUAGUGGUUGGGGAUGAGCUCGCGGCCUAUCAGCUUGUUGGUGGGGUAAUGGCCUACCAAGGCGGCGACGGGUAGCCGGCCUGAGAGGGUGGACGGCCACAUUGGGACUGAGAUACGGCCCAGACUCCUACGGGAGGCAGCAGUGGGGAAUAUUGCACAAUGGGCGGAAGCCUGAUGCAGCGACGCCGCGUGGGGGAUGACGGCCUUCGGGUUGUAAACUCCUUUCGACCGCGAGGAAGCCACCUGGUUAGAAGGGUGGUGACGGUAGUGGUAGAAGAAGCACCGGCUAACUACGUG